AUUGAACGCUGGCGGCAUGCCUUACACAUGCAAGUCGAACGGCAGCACGGGUACUUGUACCUGGUGGCGAGUGGCGAACGGGUGAGUAAUACAUCGGAACGUACCUUAUCGUGGGGGAUAACGCAGCGAAAGCUGUGCUAAUACCGCAUACGCCCUGAGGGGGAAAGCGGGGGAUCGAAAGACCUCGCGCGAUUAGAGCGGCCGAUGCUUGAUUAGCUUGUUGGUGGGGUAAAAGCCCACCAAGGCGACGAUCAAUAGCUGGUCUGAGAGGACGAUCAGCCACACUGGGACUGAGACACGGCCCAGACUCCUACGGGAGGCAGCAGUGGGGAAUUUUGGACAAUGGGGGCAACCCUGAUCCAGCAAUGCCGCGUGAGUGAAGAAGGCCUUCGGGUUGUAAAGCUCUUUUGUCAGGGAAGAAGCACCGGCUCUAACACAGUCCGGGAAUGACGGUACCUGAAGAAUAAGCACCGGGCUGUGUACGUG
rnacentral:rRNA from 1 species